AUUGAACGCUGGCGGCAGGCCUAACACAUGCAAGUCGAACGGUAACACGAAGCGGCUUGCUGCUUCGCUGACGAGUGGCGGACGGGUGAGUAAUGUCUGUGAAACUGCCUGAUGGAGGGGGAGAACUACUGGAAACGGUAGCUAAUACCGCAUAACGUCGCAAGACCAAAGAGGGGGACCUUAGGGCCUCUUGCCAUCGGGUGUGCCCAGAUGGGAUUAGCUAGUUGGUGGGGUAACGGCUCACCUAGGCGACGAUCCCUAGCUGGUCUGAGAGGAUGACCAGCCACACUGGAACUGAGACACGGUCCAGACUCCUACGGGAGGCAGCAGUGGGGAAUAUUGCACAAUGGGCGCAAGCCUGAUGCAGCCAUGCCGCGUGUAUGAAGAAGGCCUUCGGGUUGUAAAGUACUUUUAGCGGGGAAGAAGGGAGUAAAGUUAAUACCUUUGCUCAUUGACGUUACCCGAAGAAGAAGCACCGGCUAACUCCGUG
rnacentral:rRNA from 1 species